CCUACGGGAGGCAGCAGUGGGGAAUAUUGCACAAUGGGGGAAACCCUGAUGCAGCAACGCCGCGUGAGUGAAGAAGUAUUUCGGUAUGUAAAGCUCUAUCAGUAGGGAAGAAGAAAGACGGUACCUGACUAAGAAGCCCCGGCUAACUACGUUCCAGCCGCCGGGGUAAUACGUAGGGGGCCAGCGUUAACCGGGUUUACUGGGUGGAAAGGGAGCGUAAACGGCUGUGCAAGUCUGAAGUGAAAGCCCGUGGCCCAAACGCUGAACUGCGUUGGAAACUGUGUAGCUUGAGUGCUGGAGAGGCAGGCGGAAUUCCUAGUGUAGCGGUGAAAUGCGUAGAUAUUAGGAGGAACACCAGUGGCGAAGGCGGCCUGCUGGACAGAAACUGACGUUGAGGCUCGAAAGCGUGGGGAGCAAACAGGAUUAGAUACCCCAGUAGUC
rnacentral:rRNA from 1 species